AGUGAACGCUGGCGGCAGGCCUAACGCAUGCAAGUCGAGCGGCAGCGGGUCCUUCGGGAUGCCGGCGAGCGGCGGACGGGUGAGGAAUGCGUCGGAAUCUGCCUUUUUGUGGGGGAUAACGUAGGGAAACUUACGCUAAUACCGCAUACGACCUACGGGUGAAAGUGGGGGACCGCAAGGCCUCACGCAGAAAGAUGAGCCGACGCCGGAUUAGCUAGUUGGCGGGGUAAAGGCCCACCAAGGCGACGAUCCGUAGCUGGUCUGAGAGGAUGAUCAGCCACACUGGAACUGAGACACGGUCCAGACUCCUACGGGGGGCAGCAGUGGGGAAUAUUGGACAAUGGGCGCAAGCCUGAUCCAGCCAUGCCGCGUGUGUGAAGAAGGCCUUCGGGUUGUAAAGCACUUUUGUCCGGAAAGAAAUCCAAUCGAUUAAUACUCGGUUGGGAUGACGGUACCGGAAGAAUAAGCACCGGCUAACUUCGUGCCAGCAGCCGCCGUAAAAC
rnacentral:rRNA from 1 species